UACGUAGGGUCCGAGCGUUGUCCGGAAUCACUGGGCGUAAAGCGCACGUAGGCGGACUCUUAAGUCGGUGGUGAAAUCCUGGAGCUCAACUCCAGAACUGCCUUCGAUACUGAGAGUCUUGAGUCCGGGAGAGGUGAGUGGAACUGCGAGUGUAGAGGUGAAAUUCGUAGAUAUUCGCAAGAACACCAGUGGCGAAGGCGGCUCACUGGCCCGGUACUGACGCUGAGGUGCGAAAGCGUGGGGAGCAAACAGG
rnacentral:rRNA from 1 species